rnacentral:rRNA from 1 species
UGAACGCUGGCGGUAUGCUUUACACAUGCAAGUCGUACGAGAGUUUUUAACUCAAGUGGCGGACGGGUGAGUAACACGUAAGAAUUUGCCUUUAGGAGGGGGACAACAACUGGAAACGGUUGCUAAUACCCCAUAUGCUUUCGAGUGAAACGGUUUUUCCGCCUAAAGAGAAGCUUGCGGCUGAUUAGCUUGUUGGUAAGGUAAUGGCUUACCAAGGCGACGAUCAGUAUCUGGUUUGAGAGGACGAUCAGACACACUGGAACUGAGACACGGUCCAGACUCCUACGGGAGGCAGCAGUGGGGAAUUUUCCGCAAUGGGCGAAAGCCUGACGGAGCAAUACCGCGUGAGGGAUGAAUGCCUAUGGGUUGUAAACCUCUUUUUUCAGGGAGGAAUCAAUGACGUGUACCUGAAGAAUAAGCAUCGGCUAACUCC